rnacentral:tRNA from 2 species
CGGGAUAGCUCAGCUGGUAA